GGUUCUCAAGCUCUACACCAAGCGCUAGUUGACGCCUCCAGCCCCCCCCCCCCCCCCGCUACCCUCCCAUACCUCGAGCUCCUGUCACCGUCUCUCACCGUGGGGGGACCUCCCUCAUACACAACCUACGAUGCCACCAGGCACAAGCAGGGAAAACAGAAGCCCUCGUCAUCAAACUGGCCAAGAACAGCGCACAAGAGCCGCCUUCCCUCGUCAAGGUAGCUCCCACGAGGGCAAGCAGCUUUAGCCAACACAGGAAUCAAGUGUGUGCGAAGGUUGCCUGGAGUGCUAUAUGUGCGAUCACAGCCCUGGUACGUGCAGUGGAACCGACGAGUUGUGGUAGUGUUUGUUGCAGGAUCGGUUGCCUGGAUGGUGAGAGUAGC